rnacentral:rRNA from 1 species
UACGUAGGGGGCAAGCGUUGUCCGGAUUUAUUGGGCAUAAAGAGCGUGUAGGCGGCCAGGUAGGUCCGUUGUGAAAACUCGAGGCUCAACCUCGAGACGUCGGCGGAAACCCUCUGGCUAGAGUCCGGAAGAGGAGAGUGGAAUUCCUGGUGUAGCGGUGAAAUGCGCAGAUAUCAGGAAGAACACCCGUGGCGAAGGCGGCUCUCUGGGACGGUACUGACGCUGAGACGCGAAAGCGUGGGGAGCAAACAGG